UACGUAGGGGGCAGGCGUUAUCCGGAUUUACUGGGUGUAAAGGGAGCGUAGACGGCGAUGCAAGCCAGAUGUGAAAGCCCGGGGCUCAACCCCGGGACUGCAUUUGGAACUGUAUAGCUAGAGUGUCGGAGAGGCAGGCGGAAUUCCUAGUGUAGCGGUGAAAUGCGUAGAUAUUAGGAGGAACACCAGUGGCGAAGGCGGCCUGCUGGACGAUGACUGACGUUGAGGCUCGAAAGCGUGGGGAGCAAACAGG
rnacentral:rRNA from 1 species